rnacentral:lncRNA from 1 species
AACAUGAAAUCGAUCACUCCUAGUAAGAGGAGAUCGCAUCCUGUAUAUUUUCAUCCUUGGAUGACUCAAAAAAAGUCUUUUGACUAAAAGCAAGAAGGAGAUUAGAAAGAGUUUCUAAUGCUUUUUCAUCAGAGUCAUCAUUGGUUAAUUGAGAAUCAAUAUGAAUAUGUGUUUGAGCAUGACAUGAUUUCAUACUCAUGAAUAUAUUCAGGGUGCAAGG